rnacentral:rRNA from 1 species
UGGGGAAUAUUGGACAAUGGGCGCAAGCCUGAUCCAGCCAUGCCGCGUGAGUGAUGAAGGCCCUAGGGUUGUAAAGCUCUUUCACCGGUGAAGAUAAUGACGGUAACCGGAGAAGAAGCCCCGGCUAACUUCGUGCCAGCAGCCGCGGUAAUACGAAGGGGGCUAGCGUUGUUCGGAUUUACUGGGCGUAAAGCGCACGUAGGCGGACUAUUAAGUCAGGGGUGAAAACCCGGGGCUCAACCCCGGAACUGCCUUUGAUACUGGUAGUCUUGAGUUCGAGGGAGGUGAGUGGAAUUCCGAGUGUAGAAGUGAAAUUCGUAGAUAUUCGGAGGAACACCAGUGGCGAAGGCGGCUCACUGGCUCGAUACUGACGCUGAGGUGCGAAAGCGGGGGGAGCAAACAGG